CCAAGACACAAAGUCAGCAGGUGGUGGGUCAUGUGAUCAGGCCUGGCCUCUAGGUGGCGCUGUUGAGCACGCCAGCGGCUCUGCAAAAGGCCAACUAACUAGAGGAUGGAAGGGCAGGGCAGGUGCCCAGUCCAGAGAGGAGGGGUUGAAGAUGACAAGGUUUGGAGCUCCAGGGACUGGGUGGUGGCAGUGCUAUUAAAGGAAACAGGGAAGUCCGGAGGAGGAGCAGGAUUGGGGCCAGGAGCUGAUGAGUUCAUCCUUAGACAUGCUGACCCUGAUCUGCUAACAGUGGGAUAUUUCAGCUGAGGUCUAGCCACAAUUCAGUGAGGAAAAAUUAAGACCUGGUAAAUAUCCCUGACCAAAGCCAAAUCCCCAAGCUACUCUUGUUGUGUCCAAGGUUCCCUGGCCUGGGGCUGAGACUGCAGUGUUUGAAUGGUAGCCGCCUAGGCCCAAAUUCAAGUCAUGCACUGACCACUGGGGGUCACCACUUUGCAAAGACUUGGUGAAGCUGCCGAGGCAUGCCCACCAGACAACCUAGAAGAGGGUUUAGAGCCAGGAUCCCCUUCACAGGAGACAGAGGUCUUUCCCCAAGAGUCUGAUUAACCUUCUCCGUCUGGCUCUAAUGACCUUGGAACUGGGAAGGAAAAGCCACAGAGCCCCCUCACCUCAAGGGCUCUGAGAACAAUUUUCCCAGCCACCCUGGGGGACACAGUGUUCAGGGAUCCAGUGACCUCGCUGGGAGCAGGAGCCCAGCUGUUUCAAGCCUCCACAUGUCUCCCCUGACAUUUGCGUCAGCAACUCUGCCCUUUGACUUUUCCCUCCCCAGAGAGGAGGGAGGAGGCAAUUGGGACUAAUUAUUUGCAGUUCGAUUUGGCCAGCAGUUUAUUGGGGUUUGGCCUGGCUUUCUGGUCUCCCGCACCCCAACUUUAUGGUCUUGGUCUCCCAGGGAAGCUAAAGAACAGAAGGCAGAGUGGUUUCUUGGUCUCCUGGUGCUGAGAGCCCUGUGGGAAGACACCCUCCCUCCUGCCCCUCCUCGCUGUCUUGAUGUCCAUCUCCAGUCUCACACUUGGAAACCUUCUGCCACCGCCCAGCCUUAGGCUUCCCGGUGGACUUUCCAAAGACAGUCCCACAAGCAGUAACUGCUCUUGGGAGGAGCUUAAUAGAAGCCCAACAAAGCUCCUGAAUGGAAGACCACACUGGGUGAUGUCCCCUGCCCAACCCUCUCCCAGACCACUGGUGGGAGUUCUGGGGUCCAGUAAGAAAAGCCAGGGGAAUUCUGGGAGUUCUGUGUGAUGGCUGUGACCUGGCUUCAAUGCAGUAUUGGUACCAGGGGUUGCAUCUGCAAGAUUACUCCAGAUACCAGGACUGCCGGCUUCAUUCUCUCUGGCUCAGAGCAGGAGCAGACCCAGGCUGGGGAGUCCUAUAUUGUAAAUAAAGCUGCCGCCCAGAAUAGUCCAGAAAUUUGCAACCCUGGAAGUGAGGCAACAGGAGUAUCUGAAGCGUCUGAAGCACCUUCCCGCAGACUCACCUCCCCCUACACACAUACACACACACACACACACACACACACACACACACACACACACACACACACGACUGGAUCCACCCUGAGGAGCCACCCACGGGUCAACAUCCUGCUUCCGGCAGACCCUCCUCCUGGAGACCUCACAGAGGGGUGUUCGUUCGCAGUGGGCGACGGGAGAGAUGCUAAUCGCCACAGAUCGGCGCUGCUCUGGGCUGAAGGUCAGGAGCACUCGGGAAGAAUAACAAGUAGAAGACUGAAGUUCAGGGUCAUCCUUGACUACCUGUAGAAUCUGAGACUACCUGGACUACACGAAACCUUGACUCAAAAACAAACAAAAAGGACCCCUCAAGUCAGCACGAACCACCACCAGAAAAGCUCAUCAAAAAAUCCUCUCACUGACAACUCUUACAGGUCAAACUCAGGACAGAGAAAGCUUGUCUCCCCGGCAGGCAGCCCGGAGUCUGGCCAGCGUCUGGCCAGCAAUGGCAUCUCCCAGGGAGCCUCUAGGCGCCCUCAGCAUGCUCCAUAACCUCCAUUACGGCUCCUCGCCCCUGCAGCCUCCAUCUUGCAGGGCUCACCAUGCACCUGCAACUCAAGGCAGAGCCGGGCCUGGGGCAGCCAGCACCCCAAGAUUCAACACUGGUUAGUCAAAUGGUCUGAAGAGUUUGCUGCAUUUGGGAGAGGGGCAAGUGUAGAGGGUGUGCAUGGGAGGCAGUAGGCGUUGUCAGGGGCUGCUGUAGUGAGGUGGGGUGAGCAUCAACUCUGGAGGACACUGUCUAGAUGGGAGGCCUCACAGGCCCUUGCCCUCCGUCCCAAGGGUUUAAGGGAGACUGGGCUUUUUACUUAAUCUCUUAUUACAGUGCUAGACAUUGGCCUCGGGCCUCACAUAUUCAAGGUAGGCACUCUGACUAUGAGGUAUAGAGUCUCAGCUAAGUUACCCAGCCUGGCUUUGAACUUGCUGUGCAGGCUAGGCAGGCCUUGAACUUUUGCUCCCGCUGCAUCAGCUUCUGUGCCCCCACACGCAGCCACCGAUGUGUUUCUCUAGCAAGAACACUCUCUGGAUGUUCGGGAGCACAGGAGACAAGAAGAACAAGGCCUGGGUUAUAAACAAGUGGUGCCGUGGUGGAGGUUUCUGCCUUACAGAGGGUAGGGAAGCAGGGUGGAAUUGCAGACCUAGGAGGAGAUGCGAUUGGCUGAGGUCUGGGGAAUUUCUUUCCCGUCUUUCAUACACAUGAGUCCACUUUGGACUUGAGGAGAACAGAGCCAGUCCUGGGAGCCCUAGCGGUGGAGAGAGAGUUCAUUCAUUCACCCUUUCAUCUUUUCAUUCAGCAGUAGAAGGACCUGUGCUGACAUAUGUUCUCCUAGGAAGGAAGACCCAGUGUGCUGCAUUCCCGUGCCUAAGCACCCAGUGUUCACGUAAAACUCUGUCAGAGUAUGAAGCACAGUCAAAGACUGCCUGGCCUCCAGACUACUUCCCUGCCCUAGUGGCUGAGGUGGGCUCCUCGGGUUGGACUCAGGCUGAGCAGCUGCUACAGGCCUAAAGCCCAUGGACAGGAUGCCCAGACCAGGGGUACAGAGCCUGAGCCCCACCCUCUCCUGCUCAGCCUGGGCCAGCUCCCCUCACCUCUCACUGCCAACUCACUAUCUCCACUUGGGCUAGUGAUCGGCCUCUUAAGCCUGGUGUGCUCACGAGGGCAGCCCCCAAACUGCCUGGUGUGCUCACGAGGGCAGCCCCCAAGCUGCCACUCCUGUAGUCUCCUCCCUGCUUGUCUAACCACAAUCACCUCCGCCCACACAGCCAGGCAAACCCCUUCGAGUCAUCCAUUCAUUGCUCACCCGGUGUCUCUGCCAGAAAAUGCCCUCAGCUCUACCCUUAGCUUGUGUGUAUUCAGAGGAGCUCAGAGUGGCGGCUCACGCCUGUCAUCCCAGCGCUUGGAAGGCAGACGCAGAACAGUCAUCAAAUUCAAAGCCAGCCUGGUCUACACAGUGAAUUCCAGGCUAGCCAAGGUUACAGAGCAACAACCUGUCUCAAGAGAGAAAAUAAUAACAAAAAGCAUAUCUUCACAUGGAAGCUCCUCUUUUUUUAAAAAAAAAAUCUUGAUUAAUGUUAAUUAUGUGCAGGUGCCAAGUGGCCAGAGGAAUUGGAUCCGCCAAGAGCUGGAGUUGCAGGCAGUUGUGAGACACCUGAUGUGGUUGCUGGUUGGUUUCAGAACUCAAGUCCGAAAGAGUAGUACAUGCUCUUAACCACUGAGCCAUCCCUCCAGCCCCCCAGGAGCCACGCUGCACGCCUGGUCCCAGCCGGCGUUGGCACUCACUGGCUGCUUCCUUCAGUUCCAGGCAUCACAGCCGAUUGAUUUUAUUAAGAAGUGAGUCAGAUCAUGCCAUUUGCCUGGUCCCCCGUUCUUCAGAGGAAAAACCGAAGUCGUCUGUGGUGGCCUUUACCCACCUCUACCUGCCCCGUCUCAUCUCCGAUACCGCUCAUUUGGGUCAGCUACUGGCUUUGUUCUGUGAUUACACAACCCAUGUACCGGCCCCAGGGCCUUUGUACUGGCUGUUCUCUCUUGGCACCUUCUCCCCCCAAGUGCCACCUUCUUCAGUUCUUCAUGAGGGUUCCCCUCCAGACAGCCUUCCUUCCUUCUGGACCUCCAUGCUGAUCGCUGUCAGUGCCCAGAUCUUGCUUUCUAAUCCAUUCUGUGCUGAGAGGACCCAUGGCUUCUUGGAGAAAUGGCUGCUUCUUGGACUAGGACAGGAAAUAGGCAAGAUGUGACCAGAGUAUCUGAAUGCCUCAGAAAGGAAGGAGGAAUUGGAGACAGGAGUCACCCGAACGUGGAUGUGUCCAGCGGUGCUGGAGCCACCGUACGGCACAGCAGGUAGGGCUGGAUUGUGUGACCCAGAGGUAAGACACAUUUGCCAGCUUGUGACAGUCAGUGGGAGAGAAGAACCCAGGUGUCACGUGGCACGGAAUGUCACGUGGCUCCUCACACAGGCAUUACCAGCCAGGGUCGAGGUCAACAGCAACAAGUUAGACUGUGGACCAAGGUGUGAAAGAAAUGGCACUGUCCCUUUGUCACCUGGCUCCCCAGGGCUCACAACCCCGGUUUAGUCGUGUGAAGAAACAGCAGACAAAAAAAAUUUUUAGCUGUAUUUUUUUAUAUUUUGGGACAGGGUUUUGUGUAGCCCUGGCUGGCUUUGAACUCACUGUGUAACUGAGGAUUGCCUUGAACUUCUGACUCUCCUGCCCCCACCUCUAACAUACUGGAAUUAUGGGGGUGUUCUGCCAUACCCAGCUUCCAGCAGGCAAAUUUUGGUUUGAGGGCAUCUACAAAAUACCUGACUGGGAUCCCUCAAAACUACUAGAAUCAUCAAAGUGAGAACUGCUCUGGCCGAGAGAAGCCUCUAGAGGGGAAACAAUGAAAUGGAAUGUGGUAUGUGGAGGGGUUCCGGGACGGAAAGGGCUUAGUGGACAAAGGUCUGGUGAAAGGACUCGAGAAGUUUCCAUGGCUAAUAAUUACUACUGGGUGUGGUGACACUAUACCUUAACUCAAAAGCUGAGGCAGGAGGAUGGUGAGUUUGAGACCAGCUUGAGCU